CCUACGGGUGGCAGCAGUGAGGAAUAUUGGUCAAUGGGCUUACGCCUGAACCAGCCAAGUCGCGUGAGGGAAGACUGCCCUAUGGGUUGUAAACCUCUUUUGUCAGGGAGCAAUUGGCGCUACGUGUAGCGUUAUCGAGAGUACCUGAAGAAAAAGCAUCGGCUGACUCCGUGCCAGCAGCCGCGGUAAUACGGAGGAUGCGAGCGUUAUCCGGAUUUAUUGGGUUUAAAGGGUGCGUAGGCGGAAUGCCAAGUCAGCGGUAACAUCGCGGGGCUCAACCUCGCUCCGCCGUUGAAACUGGCGGUCUUGAGUGGGCGAGAAGUAUGCGGAAUGCGUGGUGUAGCGGUGAAAUGCAUAGAUAUCACGCAGAACUCCGAUUGCGAAGGCAGCAUACCGGCGCCCAACUGACGCUGAAGCACGAAAGCGUGGGUAUCGAACAGGAGUAGAUACCCGGGUAGUC
rnacentral:rRNA from 1 species